GUGUAGUCUGCCAUAAAACUUUGAAGGAGAAGGAGAAGAAGAAGAAGAGCCCUCCUCGGGGUGUAUAGUUAUUUCUUUUAAUGUUUUAUCAAGACAAGCAAGUUGAAAAUGACCUUUGCCUUUCCUCUGUGAAUGAAUGUUUUUAUAGAUGAAGACCUAGACUAAAAUGUUUAAUAGCUACCUUGAAUGGAAACGUAAUAGUUGAAUGAAUGAGACUGGCGUCUUGAAAAGAUAGAACAUGUACCUGUUGCGCUUCUCUAUUGCCAUCAUUCUUGGGUUUGUGUGGUAUUUAUUUGACCGCGGACAAGUAGCGGCUCAAAUUGUUUUAUGUUUACUAUUUUGGCAAUCAACCCCAAAUGUUUUAAUAAAGACCAGGCGGGAAAGCGGAACUCAGACAGACGAUGUGGCUGAAGAAGAUUUAUUCCAGGAAACCACUGACCAUUUAGGUUGUGAUGUGACUGAUACAACAAGCACUAAAGCUGAAACGUCACAGGAGACACAGUUUCCCCAUGUGAAGAGAUCUCUUCAGCAAGUGUUUGACUGUGCCUACGCCCAGCUAGUCCUCCCCUGGUACAGCGUCCCUGAGCCCUGCGACAGUCAGCUCCUGCACCAGGUGCUGUGGAGGGAGUUUGACCAAGUCAUCGAUCAAGUCAUCAGCAGAGGCAAAGACUUUGACAUCUGUGCUGCAAGUGUGGGCUGCAUUCGCAUCCUGACCCAGCACCUCCAUAAUGCCAAACAGUCUCAUAGAAAACCAUUGUUCCGCUCUAGAGGAGAGGAGGUUGAAGUUCUUCGAGUGUUCUCUGAAGCACUGGUGCGAAACCUUUUACCACAGUCCCUAUGGGGACUGGCAGUCAGCCACUGUGCCUUAAAUGAGAUAGUUGCCUUAAAAGUACUGGACCUGCUGGUGCGGUGGCUCUCAGACCCUGACAACCUCAACCAGCUGGUGGUGAGUCAGCUGGAUGGAGCGACCCGUAAGAGCUCUGUGGAGGAGCUGUGUGGGUCCCACUCUGACAGGGCCUCUCCAGCCUCCCUGGAGAGCCAGGCCAGUGGAGCGACGCAGGAUGAAACAGAGGAUGCUCAAACCAGUGACAGCAAGUCCAAAAAGAAAGCUAACAAAUUGAAGGAAGGCUGGUCUAAAUUCCUUGACAAGAUGAGAUUGAAUAAGGCUAAAAGGGAGAAGAUGAAGAAAAGGGAGCAGGCGCUGGUUGCCACGGUCAUGUCUGUCGAGGGUCGUCCAUCAAACGAAAAUGAAGGGAGUAGCCUGGAGGGUUCCAUCCGGAACCAGCAGGACUCUGACAGCGAGGACAGUGAUCUGGAGAGAUACUGGAACAGUGUACAAGAGGAUAUGAUGGAAUUCAAGCUGUCGUAUGAGCUGUGGCGAGUUGGCCACUGGGCUGUCAGCGUCCCUUGUGUGGAGAGGGAAAACGACGAACUGUGUUUUACAGUUCACCUGGAGGAGAGGGACAACCCUGAAAACCUUCACUGGAACGUGAGGAAGACCCAAACAGACAUCAUCCACUUCCGCAACCUAUGGCAGGACUCUGCUACUUUACCCUCCCUAUCCAUGUUAGAGGAGAGCACUGAGGUGAACAUCAAUGAGGAUUUUAAAGAAGCCAAAAAGUCCAUCAAGCUCUUCUUACAGGAGCUGGUGUCUGAUGUUCUAGUGGGCCACACUCAGCCAGUGUUUCAGUUUCUGUGUCCUCUGGACAAGCUGCUGGUUGAAGAGGAUCAUGUGGGGGAAGUGUGGGGCCUCUUCAGUGGCCUGGCCUACUUCCUGACUCCGGGCCAAGAGGAAGAUGAGGACAAGCACAACAGCCUUGGAAGAGGGACCAAACCAGAUGAUUCCAACACAAAGGAGGCUGCAGACCCAACUGCAACUGAGAACCUGGAUGGCGAUACAAGGGAUGACCUGGCACGGGGCCCAUGUAUCAUCAUCUCCCAAUGUGAUGAGGAUUCUCCUUCAGAACCCAGUUCCAUUGAGUGCUGCAGAGAUGACGAGACUGAACCAUUAGAGAAAUCUGACAUUUUGGUUAAUGCAGACAAAACCGAGGAAUCUGAGAACCCCGUAACUCACCUAAAGAUGGCAAUCAAAGGGCUAUCUAGAUCAGAGGAGUGUCUGGCACAAACGAAAUCAGACACCCCUGAAGACCAGACUGACUCUUUCUGUAGACUGCGACGUUCCAGUGAAAAUGGAGGCUCGCAAUUUGACCUCGCUGACAGUCCAUCACAUCCUUUCGGUGGAAAGUCGAAUAAAAAGGAGAAACUCACUUUCAAAAUGUCAGGAGGGAUCCCCAGGAGUAAAGGAAAUGAAAUGGGGAGUCAGCCAAAAUUAGAAGACUCACCGUGUUUGAAAAAGGAACAAUCCAGCUGGGAGCAAAUGGAAGCAACCAAAGCCCUUUUUGAUUUGUUGAAAGCAAUAUCUGGCAAUUCCAUCCUUCUGAACAUAUUUGAUGCGAUUCUGAAACCCGUCAUGCCGAUAUUGAAAAAGAAAGUGAACAGCUUCUUGAAUAAUAUGAACCCAACGGAAGCACAGAUUGCCUCCUAUAUCGACAACCUGCGUGAGAAACAGUGGCCCGAAGGCUUGCCGGAGGUGACAUGCCCUAUACACCAUCGCAGCAGUGAGGAGAAGCAUGAGACCAAAGACCGAGCUCACCACCUCAUCAAUGCCAGAUAUUCAAACUAUUUAAUCUUGAAGAAGACAGAUAUGGAGACAGCAUUUAAGCUCUUCCAGGACUGUGAAGAAAACAAGAAGCUGGUCUAUAUGCUGCUUUCAUUCCUGUUGAGAGAGCUUCUGCCGGGUGAGGAUGCCCUUAAUGCGGACGGAGAGACGGCGUUCCAUACAGAACGGGAUGUCCAAGAUCUGCAAGGCCGUGAAGAAGGUGGACAUGGGGGGCGUGAUCCGGGCCAUCGUUAGGACAGGCAGCUCCCGGACCUCCUCCUGGGUCCUGUCCUGGGACAGAAGGGCAUCCCUAUCGGCCAGUUCUGCAAGAACUUCAACGAGAAGGCAGAAGAGCUCAAGGAAGGGAAUCCCUCUGCCCAUCAAGAUUCACGUUAAGCCUGACAGGACGUAUGACCUGAAGAUUGGCCAACCCACAGUGUCUUACUUCCUCAAGCAGGUGGCUGGCAUCUAGAAAGGGGGCCAGUAAAACCGGCAAGGUUUGGACAUUGUUGGCUGGUUUCCCCCCCCCUCACUCAAUCUCCGUAGCCGGCUGUCUGAGGUCAGGCCCAUACCGGACGGGCAGACGCAGACGUCUCACAGGGCGUUGAGGCGGAGAUUGGACUUCUUUGAUUGAUGAUAUAUUUAUGAUCGGGGGGUGCUUUGAGCCAGGCAAUUACAGGCAGGAGGUUGGUAGUGGGAAAAGUGGUGGGCUAAGGAAAGAGAAUUAUGGAUUUCCUCCUUCCGCGCCAGCUCCUCCCUUUGAUCAGUUCCUCGUUUUUCCCCCACUCUCCUCCACACUCUGCCCUCCUUUUUGCUCCUCACACUUUCUCUUUUUUCCACCUCCGCUCCCCUCAGUUUCUUCAUCCAAUUCCCACUUUGGACUCUUAUCUCUUUCUCCAUCUCUAGGCUAUGAGACAGCUGGGAUGGUGUUUGUGGAGGGCUGUGUAUGAGAUCGCUCAGGUCAAGGCACAGGACGAGGCCUUCAAGAUGCAGAAUGCU